GGUGAACGCUAGUAGUAUGCAUAACACAUGCGAGUUGAACGGAGAUUAAUCUUAGUGGCAAACGGGUGAGUAAUACAUAGGAAUCUUCCUUUUAGUACAGGAAAAAAAUCCUGUAUAAUACAGCAAAAAGCUGGAAAGAAAUAUUUUGCUAAAAAAUGAGCCUAUGCAGGAUUAGGUAGUUGGUAAGAUUAAGGCUUACCAAGCCUGUGAUCCUUAGUUGUUUUGAGAGAUUGAACAACCACACUGGGACUGAGACAAGGCCCAGGCUUCAGUAGAGGCCAGCAGUGAGGAAUCUUGGGCAAUGAGCGAAAGCUUGACCCAGCAAUAUUACAUGAAGGAAGACUGCUCAAAAGUUGUAAACUUCAUUAAUUAAGGAGGACGAUUGACGUUACUUAAUUAACAGCCCCGGCUAACUUCGUGCCAGCCGCCGCCGUAAAAC
rnacentral:rRNA from 1 species